rnacentral:lncRNA from 1 species
AAUUUGGUGUAUGUAUAUGGAACUCGGUUUGUUUUAUUACUGGUUCUUCUAGCAGCUCUGUACUACUGGUUGUAGUAUUGUAUGAUUUACAGGUACAGCUAUCGCUUCAUAUACAGGAGAAAUUUCUUUGUAUACGGCGGAUUUGUCAGCGCGCACGGGGAGCGAGUAAUCCGGGGCGUGACAGAUUAAGUUGGUAUCAGAGC